rnacentral:ncRNA from 1 species
GGUGGAAGACCCACCGGACUCGCCAUACAGGUGGAGGGUUCAAACAACCUUAAGGUGCUGCAAGCAAAAGUUGUGGUAUUGAGCGUUAAGGAAAAGGCAAUCUAGAAUUGUCAUG